rnacentral:rRNA from 1 species
GACGAACGCUGGCGGCGUGCUUCAUACAUGCAAGUCGAACGAGAAGCUGACUUCGGUCAGUGGAAAGUGGCGGACGGGUGAGUAAUAUGUAGGAAAUCUGCCCUAGAGAGGGGGACAACAGAGGGAGACUUCUGCUAAUACCCCAUAUGAGCUUAGUUGAAAUACUAAUCUUGAAAACUCCGGUGCUCUGGGAUGAGCCUGCAUCUGAUUAGCUAGUUGGCGGUGUAAUGGACCACCAAGGCGACGAUCAGUAGCUGGUUUGAGAGGAUGAUCAGCCACAAUGGGACUGAGACACGGCCCAUACUCCUACGGGAGGCAGCAGUAGGGAAUAUUGGGCAAUGGGGGAAACCCUGACCCAGCAACGCCGCGUGAAGG